UGUGUGUGUCUCCAGGUGUAUCGAGGGGUUUCCUCCUGCCAGGGUUAAGGCUGUGUGUGUUACCAGGUGUAUCGAGGGGUUUCCUCCUGCCAGGGUUAAGGCUGUGUGUGUGUUCGGAUUACCAGGAACUCUGAGCUUGUGCUGACCAACUCGCAAGUGUCUUCACUGACAUGUUCAACCUGUCCCUGACUGAGACUGUAAUACCAACAUAUUUCAAGCAGACCACCAUAGUCCCUGUGCCCAAGAACACUAAGGUAACCUGCCUAAAUGACUACCGACCCAUAGCACUCACGCCUGUAGCCAUGAAGGUCUUUGAAAGUAUGGUCAUGGCUCACAUCAACACCAUUA